CUAUUUUUUUAAAUAUAACUAAAAGUCUUUCAUCUGACAAGAAUACCCUUAUUUAGCGAACAAGUAAUUUAUUCUUUUUUCUGUUAUUGAAUACCAAGAAAAAAAAAUCCCGAAAUUAAUUUGAAACUUUGAUACUCAAAAGUUUCCCAGCAAAAUAUUCACAUCCCUUCGGGAUAAUUAGUGUUCGUCCAGUGGCAUAUAUAACAAUUGUGAUGACGAAUUCCUUCCUUUGUUCGAGAACAAUCUUAUUGAAAUAUAAAUCUGUGAUUUUACUAUGUCCACAACUUCAAUGAACCAAAGCAAAAGUUAUACAUCGACCUGUAUUUAAAUCAAAUUGGUUCUCUUCUUCUUCUGGUAUACAAUAGUCUAUCGACAUUCGAUGAUUACAUACUGUUGGCAUACGUGGACUAGUCUAUUUACAACACUUUUACCC
rnacentral:lncRNA from 1 species